rnacentral:rRNA from 1 species
UACGUAGGGUGCGAGCGUUGUCCGGAAUUAUUGGGCGUAAAGAGCUCGUAGGCGGUUUGUUGCGUCGGCUGUGAAAACCUACAGCUUAACUGUGGGCCUGCAGUCGGAUACGGGCAGACUUGAGUUCGGCAGGGGAGACUGGAAUCCUGGUGUAGCGGUGAAAUGCGCAGAUAUCAGGAGGAACACCGGUGGCGAAGGCGGGUCUCUGGGCCGAUGACUGACGCUGGAGGAGCGAAAGCCGUGGGGAGCGAACAGGA